rnacentral:lncRNA from 1 species
CUUCUUUGAUAAAAUAUUCAAUUCUAGUAUGUUUUUAGGAUCUUGAUUAUGAACCAUGAGUUGUAUUUAGAGACAUAGCACUACCUGUUUUAAACAAACAAACCUGGAAGAUUGUCCGUCACUGAGCAUGACAAGAAUACCCCUGUUGAAAGGUGAGCUUUGAUAACUACUGUUAAGACACUGGGUGCAUUAUUCUUCUGGAUAAAAUUUAUACUUGUUUUCUAUAUCACCCUUAAAAAGGGAUCUAUUCAGGUUAAACAUCAUAUUUAUGCUGAAAUCUUUAUCUGGUGUUAACUUAUAAUCUCCCAUGGGUUCAUAACUGAAGUAAGUAACUAGUAAUUAGUCUUUGUGACAACUUGCUCAAAAUGUCAAAAUAAUUUUAUUUACUUCCUUAAUGAUUUCACAGGUUGACCCUAACCUAAGUUCUAAAUAACAUCCAGUAAAUCAGUAUAGUUCUGAGUUUAUGGUUUAACUAGGAAGGAAAAUUCCUAGAUGUUUGUUAGAUUUUAUAAAAAUUCAAAAUGUUCGAACUUCAUCUUGAGUCUCAAUUUUCCAACUUGACCCUUUUAAAUAUUGUAUAUUUUUGUUCACAUUCUUAAGUAAAAAGCAUUUAAUUACUCUUU